rnacentral:lncRNA from 1 species
GACUGCACCUGCAUCCUUAGCUCAGAGCAUCCCUGGAGCAUCUAAGAGGAAAGCGCAGCUAGCAACCAGGGAUCGUACUGCAGGGGCAAUCGGUCAUGCACCUUCCCCUCCCCUGAUCUGGAGGUCUACAGCCGCGGCCUCGGUACUGACCGAGAUUCCCAAAGUUGUCUGACCUCUGCAAAAGUGUUUCUAUCAACAGCCUCUGAUUACAACAUGGCUGAGAUCACAAAUAUACGCCCCAGCUUUGGGGUGUGCUGGAGAGCUUCGCGUACCUACAAGGAAUACUUGCACUGGUCAGCAUCCUUCUGUGGGCCUGCAAUCCUAACCGACAAGGGCACAGAAGGCAGCUGUGCUCACACGGCUCUGAGAGCUCCCUUCACAGGCACUCCUCUGACCCAAGGAGUAACAACACACAGAACAAGCAGCAAGGCACAACUCCUUUCCUCGGAGGGGCAACUGGACAGCCUUUAACCCUUUAAAAACCAGGGACUGAUUUUCACGGGUUCUGACUUCAGCACUGCAUCAUCCAGAUAAAAAAACAUUACACUUUGGUUAUUCGCUCUGGAUGCCAGUGAGAUGUCUCAAUAGACAAACCUGCCCCUGAGCCUGCUGAUGGCCUGAACUUACUUCCUGGGACCCACAUGGUAGAGGGAGAAACAACAGCCAAAGCUGUCCGGUGUACUAUGACACCUCCAGAUCCUAGCAGUGACCUCAAGGUCUCCAAAGAAGAUGAUGGGUCACAGAAGAACUCCACCUGGAACAUGCUUUAACUGUGGCGAGGACAGCUUCUAUGAAACACUGCCCUUCACCUUGCCCACGGCACAGCCUCUACGAACUGAGGACCAAGUGCGAUACUGGGGAGCUGACUGGCCCACUUUGCCUAGACAACAUAGACUGGUCCUCCAAGCCCCUCCUCCACAGGAAGGUCUGUUGGAUCUUUUGGGCCUGAUGGCCAAAGGCUGUCCAUAGAGCUUGAUUGUCAGGUAGCCAGUAAGGAUCUAUUAUGUUUAAUAGACUCAGGACCUACUUGAUGUAUACUUAUUGAAUCACUGUUGGGUUCCGAGCUCCUACUAUGACUCAAACACGUGAGUCUAUUGACUUUUCUGCAAUGUGGAUCUCAAUAGAAAUUACACAGUGGUAAUGCUAACAUAUGUAAAAUUUUAUCUUUUGAUAAACUUAAAAUUCUUGUAA